UGCUCACGUGAUCGCAGCCCGCAGCCGCGCGCAACCGGGGAGGCGGGAGCGGGAGCGGUAGGCCCCGCCCACAGAGGAGGGUACCGCGCCGGAAGCCCCCUGCUCUGUGGGAACCUGAGGGAGGACAGCGCGAGGUUCCCGGACAGAGCGUGGCGCAGAAGUCCGGCCCGUAACUUGGUGGGCAGGCAGCUUAGGGGAUGUGGGCCUGGUUAUAGCUGAGCAUGCUUUUCUCUUCCUCCCAGACCACAGUUCUUCAGACCUGGAGCCACUUUCAGAGAAGAGUAUAAGUUGCACUGAAUUGAAAAAGGGAAAAGUUUAGGACUGCAGAAGAUGGAAUUCCUGGGGACGUUAAACUGGGCUAAGAUGGAGCAGAUAAGAUUUCCUUAAUUAGAGCAAGACACACCUAGUAUCUAGAGCCUGGAAGUCUUGGUCAAGGAUUCUCCCUAACAUCUCAGUUUCUCAGCACUAACAUUCCUGCUACUAAAAUGAAGUGAGAAAUUAAUUUCUGAAGUUAAGUAAAGAAAUAAACUAAAAUUCCUAGAAAAGAGGUAAGAAGAAUGAGCCUUUGAAAAAUGUCUUCACAGAGACUGGCAUGAUGGCAUGGAAGAAAGAGCCCCAGAUAUCCAGUAUACAUCUCAAGGUCAACUUGUCCAAAACAGAGCUACUGAUGAUUUUCCCCUUGAAAUCUACUCUUCCUACAGCUUAUUCAUCUCAAAUAACACAUUCACUCUCAUGGCUUCAACUAGGCAGAAUGUGACUGACCAACAGUGUGGCUCAUCCUUGUGGAGGAGAACAGAUGCCAAUUAAUUUGACGUGACCGUAUCCAACCCAGGAAGUGGGUGGGAGGCUGGAGUACAGUGGCAUGAUCAUAGCUCACUGCAACUUCUACCUCCUGGGCUCAAGCAAUCCUCUUACCUCAGCCUCCUGAGUAGCUGGGACUACAGGUACAUGCCACCAUGCCUGGUCUCCCUCUCUUGCCGAGCCUGGACUGUACUGCCAUGAUCUCAGCUCACUGCAACCUCCCUGCCUCGGGUUCCGGUGAUUGUCCUGCCUCGGCCUGACAUUCCAGGCACGCGCCGCCACUCCUGACUGGUUUUUGUAUUUUUGGUGGAGACGGGGUUUCGCCGUGUUGACCGUGCUGGUCUCCAGCUCCUGGCCUCGGGUGAUCUGCCCGCCUCGGCCUCCCAAGGUGCUGGGAUUGCAGACGGAGUCUCACUCACUCAAUGCUCAAUGUUGCCCAGGCUGGAGUGCAGUGGCGUGAUCUCGGCUCGCUACAACCUCCACCUCCCAAAUGCCUGCCUUGGCCUCCCAAAGUGCUAAGAUUACAGCCUCUGCCCGCCCGCCACCCCGUCUAGGAAGUGAGCAGCGUCUCUGCCUGGACGCCCAUCGUCUGGGACAUGAGGAGCGCCUCUGGCUGGCCGCCCCGUCUGGGAAGUGAGGAGCGCCUCUGCCCGGCCACCCCGUCUGGGAGGUGAGGAGCGUCUCUGCCCGGCCACCCCGUCUGGGAGGUGAGGAGCGCCUCUGCCUGGCCACCCCGUCUGGGAGGUGAGGAGCGCCUCUGCCUGGCCACCCCGUCUGGGAGGUGAGGAGCAUCUCUGCCCGGCCACCCCGUCUGGGAGGUGAGGAGCACCUCUGCCUGGCUGCCCCGUGUGGGAAGUGAGGAGCACCCCUGCCCGCCCGCCCAUCAUCUGGGAAGUGAGGAGCCCCUCUGCCCGGUCGCCCUGUCUGGGAAGUGAGGAGUGCCUCUGCCCGGCCACCCUGUCUGGGAUGUGAGGAGCGCCUCUGCCCAGCCACCACCCCGUCUGGGAAGUGGGGAGCGCCUCUGCCUGGCCGCGCCAUCUGGGAUGUGAGGAGCUCCUCUGCCCGGCCGCCAGGCCGUCUGGGAAGUGAGGAGCGCCUCUGCCCGGCCGCCACCGUGUCUGGGAAGUGGGGAGCGCCUCUGCCUGGCCGCCCCAUCUGGGUUGUGAGGAGCGCCUCUGCCUGGCCUCCCCAUCUGGGAGGUGGGGAGCGCCUCUGCCCGGCUGCCCCGUCUGGGAGGUGAGGAGCAUCUCUGCCCGGCUGCUCAUCAUUUGGGAUGUGAGGAGCGCCUCUGCCUGGCCGCCCCGUCUGGGAAGUGAGGAGUGCCUCUGCCCGGCCGCCCUUCGUCUGGGAGGUGAGGAGCGUCUCUGCCCGGCCACCCAUUGUCUGGGAUGUGAGGAGUGCCUCUGCCCGGCCGCCCCGUCUGGGAAGUGAGGAGUGCCUCUGCCUGGCCACCCCAUCUGGGAGGUGUACCCAACAGCUCCGAAGAGACAGCGACCAUCGAGAACGGGCCGUGAUGACGAUGGCGGUUUUGUUGAAAAAUAAAGGGGGAAAUGUGGGGAAAAGAAAGAGAGAUCAGAUUGUUACUGUGUCUGUGUAGAAAGAAGUAGACAUAGGAGACUCCAUUUUAUUCUGUACUAAGGAAAAUUCUGCCUUGGGAUGCUGUUAAUCUAUAACCUUACCCCCAACCCCGUGCUCUCUGAAACAUGUGCUGUGUCAACUCAGGGUUAAAUGGAUUAAGGGUCAUGCAAGAUGUGCUUUGUUAAACAGAUGCUUGAAGGCAGCAUGCUCGUUAAGAGUCAUCACCACUCCCUAAUCUCAAGUACCCAGGGACACAAACACUGCGGAAGGCCGCAGGGACCUCUGCCUAGGAAAACCAGAGUCCUUUGUUCACGUAUUUAUCUGCUGAUCUUCUCUCCACUAUUAUCCUAUGACCCUGCCACAUCCCCCUCGCCGAGAAACACCCAAGAAUGAUCAAUAAAUACUAAAAAAAACAAAAAGUUAUUUCUUCUAAUCAAUAUUUCCAAGAGUUUCAACCUCUAAUUUUAAAUCUCUCAGUUUGAUUUCCUCUUUUACUGUCUUCCCUAAGGUGAUUAGCACUUGUAAUUGCCAGAAGGAAUUAAGUCCCCCAAACCUUAACCUGAUGAAUCACGGAUAAUCAGGUCAAUCACCAGCCUUAUUAAAUAUUCACUUAAAAGUUUAAGUAGUUGUAGUUCAUCACCUAAAAGUUAUAAUUCUACAGUACAAAGGACUUUUUCUUAAGUUAACAUGAAUAACCAGUUAUGUGAAGAUAAAUAAACUUUUUAAGUAAGGAAUAAUCACUCAUUGGCCAAGACUCUACUAUUGUGAAAUCAUUAAAUGAAAAUGAUAAAAGCUUACAGUCAUCAAAUAAUUAACAUGUACCAAGCACUGUUCUAUCUUUACAUGAAUCAACUUAUUUCAUUCUUAUAAAAAUUCUAUAGUGAACCUUUAUACUACUAUUAUAGUUUUAUGGACCUAGAAAUUGAGAUUAAGUAACUUGUUCAAGGUCAUAUAGUUUGUAAAUGGAGGAGCCAGAAUUCCAACCCAGGCCAUUUAACUUUGAGCCUGUGGCCUGGGAUGGAAUUCUGUUCUUAACCACUACAGUGUAGUGCCUUGGAAAUGUCACAUCCACACUUGUUUUGAAAUUGAGUUACUGAGGAAUUUACCACCUUGUGUUUGGCACCAAAAAUAUGCCUGAAAUGUUAAGAAAAUAGAAAGGUAUGUUUCAACAGCAAAAUUAUGCUGAAAUUAUCCUUCACUACACCUCCUCCUGCACACCUCUAUCUCCUGCCUGAAGCAAGUAUCCCGUCUCCAUCAGCACUCUUGCUCACUGAGCCCAGGCUGGGUCUCAGAAUCCUUCUCAGCACAACAUAUAAUAGUCAACAGUUGGCAUGCAAGAGGAAAUCUGCACACUAUGUCUAGCAGUACACUAAAAUGUGCAGUUUUGUAUAGCAUAUAUGAAGGUGUCAGUCUUUUCCCUUUCUUUUUGUAAUGUCUCUUAGGGAGACAUUGCAAGUUGGGAAGAGUUACUUUUACUUCCCUUACUGACAAUCCCAUUUCACAAUGUAAUUGUUUAGGUCAAAUUCUGUAGAAGUACCGCCUGAGACAGGAAAUAGCAUGCAUGUGGUUUAUUGAGGAAAUGCUUUCAGGAGACAGGGAGUAAGGAAAACUGAAUAAAGUAGAAGUUGUUAAGCAA